ensembl:lncRNA
UAGACACAUAACAGGGUCAUCAUUCAUUUGCAUUUUAACAAGUCCUUCAGCUAUGACACCAGAUCGUGUGAAUUCAUUACCAUACAGGGCUGCGGUUCAUCCAGCCAUCUAUUAGUGACGCCAAUUAGUUUACUGGGACAGGUUCACGAGAUGCAAAUAGGCCCUCAGACGCACCAAGCAGAGCUGCCCCAAACUUUUUCACAUAGAGACUCUCAUGACAGACACACAUUCAAAAAAGGUUUUUGUCCCAGUGACCCACAUCUGUGAGAAGUUGAAAAAUAUGUUGUAAGCAUAUAAUUUGUGGUAAGUGGGGUAAUAAAUAAAUUCAUCUUGUGUGUCACUCUAAGCUUUAAGUCUCUGAACAUCCUUAUUUUGAAAUCUGUGAAAUGGUGUCCCUUUAUCUGGACAGGAAGAUAUAUUGCUGCUGAUGUUGCGCCGUGUCCUAGAUUCAGUGCUCUCUUCUCUCAGUUGUCACGUAGGAAACGUGCAACCUCAAUAUCUGUGAAGCAUUUCGUACUGCUAAAGGCAUCCAUAACAAAGACUGAUAAAAAAACAACUAAAUUAAAACAAACCAAAAAAAAAAAGAACAUCAGCUUGAUUUCUGCUCGCCCGUUACUGGUGGAACAAACCAGUCCGGUGUAAAAAUGUGCAACAGCCUGUUUAUUGUAAACUGCCACUUACAGGUUAGACAGGCCCUGCCACCAGAAGCCUUGAUGUUACUUCAGGAGGACAGAGCAAGUCACAGGUCUCCCGUGAAAGAGAAGUCCAAGACAACUCAUGUGUCACCCGGGAAAGAUACGGGCAGUUAAAACCUGUCAGCCAGCACAGGAACCUGUUACUUUUAUUCACCCUUUUGUAUCCAAGGUCACUGCUGGGCCUGUAUUAGUCAUUUCAGAAAAGAAUUUCCUUCUUCCUCCUUUCAUUUCAGACUCCGAUUGACGCCUGUAAGAGUGAUUUCUGGUGGAGACAAAACAAACAUUUUAACUACACCUUACAGACAUUUUGGAUUUGUU